rnacentral:rRNA from 1 species
AACGAACGCUGGCGGCAUGCCUAAUACAUGCAAGUCGAACGCGUCUAGCAAUAGACGGGUGGCGGACGGGUGAGUAACGCGUGGGAACCUGCCCUUGAGUGCGGGAUAACCGAGGGAAACUUCGGCUAAUACCGCAUGCGCCCCAGGAGCGAUCUUGGGGGAAAGAUUUAUCGCUCGAGGAGGGGCCCGCGUCGGGUUAGCUAGUUGGUGGGGUAACGGCCUACCAAGGCGAUGAUCCGUAGCUGGUCUGAGAGGAUGAUCAGCCACACUGGGACUGAGACAGGGCCCAGACUCCUACGGGAGGCAGCAGUAGGGAAUAUUGGACAAUGGGGGCAACCCUGAUCCAGCAAUGCCGCGUGAGUGAUGAAGGCCUUAGGGUUGUAAAGCUCUUUCGCGCGCGACGAUGAUGACGGUAGCGCGAGAAGAAGCCCCGGCUAACUUCGUGCCAGCCGCCGCCGUAACAC